CCUACGGGAGGCAGCAGUGGGGAAUUUUGGACAAUGGGCGCAAGCCUGAUCCAGCAAUGCCGCGUGAGUGAAGAAGGCCUUCGGGUUGUAAAGCUCUUUUGUCAGGGAAGAAACGGUGGUUCCUAAUACGAACUACUAAUGACGGUACCUGAAGAAUAAGCACCGGCUAACUACGUGCCAGCAGCCGCGGUAAUACGUAGGGUGCAAGCGUUAAUCGGAAUUACUGGGCGUAAAGCGUGCGCAGGCGGUUAUAUAAGUCAGAUGUGAAAUCCCCGGGCUCAACCUGGGAACUGCAUUUGAGACUGUAUGGCUAGAGUGUGUCAGAGGGGGGUAGAAUUCCACGUGUAGCAGUGAAAUGCGUAGAUAUGUGGAGGAAUACCGAUGGCGAAGGCAGCCCCCUGGGAUAACACUGACGCUCAUGCACGAAAGCGUGGGGAGCAAACAGGAUUAGAUACCCUGGUAGUCCACGCCCUAAACGAUGUCUACUAGUUGUCGGGACUUAAUUGUCUUGGUAACGCAGCUAACGCGUGAAGUAGACCGCCUGGGGAAGUCGGUCGCAAGAUUAAAACUCAAAGGAAUUGAGNGNGAGAGAGCGACGACGACGACGAGGGAGGAGG
rnacentral:rRNA from 1 species